rnacentral:rRNA from 1 species
AGCGUACACGGUGGAUGCCCUGGCAGUCAGAGGCGAUGAAGGACGUGCUAAUCUGCGAUAAGCGUCGGUAAGGUGAUAUGAACCGUUAUAACCGGCGAUUUCCGAAUGGGGAAACCCAGUGUGUUUCGACACACUAUCAUUAACUGAAUCCAUAGGUUAAUGAGGCGAACCGGGGGAACUGAAACAUCUAAGUACCCCGAGGAAAAGAAAUCAACCGAGAUUCCCCCAGUAGCGGCGAGCGAACGGGGAGCAGCCCAGAGCCUGAAUCAGUGUGUGUGUUAGUGGAAGCGUCUGGAAAGGCGCGCGAUACAGGGUGACAGCCCCGUACACAAAAAUGCACAUGCUGUGAGCUCGAUGAGUAGGGCGGGACACGUGGUAUCCUGUCUGAAUAUGGGGGGACCAUCCUCCAAGGCUAAAUACUCCUGACUGACCGAUAGUGAACCAGUACCGUGAGGGAAAGGCGAAAAGAACCCCGGCGAGGGGAGUGAAAAAGAACCUGAAACCGUGUACGUACAAGCAGUGGGAGCACGCUUAGGCGUGUGACUGCGUACCUUUUGUAUAAUGGGUCAGCGACUUAUAUUCUGUAGCAAGGUUAACCGAAUAGGGGAGCCGAAGGGAAACCGAGUCUUAACUGGGCGUUAAGUUGCAGGGUAUAGACCCGAAACCCGGUGAUCUAGCCAUGGGCAGGUUGAAGGUUGGGUAACACUAACUGGAGGACCGAACCGACUAAUGUUGAAAAAUUAGCGGAUGACUUGUGGCUGGGGGUGAAAGGCCAAUCAAACCGGGAGAUAGCUGGUUCUCCCCGAAAGCUAUUUAGGUAGCGCCUCGUGAAUUCAUCUCCGGGGGUAGAGCACUGUUUCGGCAAGGGGGUCAUCCCGACUUACCAACCCGAUGCAAACUGCGAAUACCGGAGAAUGUUAUCACGGGAGACACACGGCGGGUGCUAACGUCCGUCGUGAAGAGGGAAACAACCCAGACCGCCAGCUAAGGUCCCAAAGUCAUGGUUAAGUGGGAAACGAUGUGGGAAGGCCCAGACAGCCAGGAUGUUGGCUUAGAAGCAGCCAUCAUUUAAAGAAAGCGUAAUAGCUCACUGGUCGAGUCGGCCUGCGCGGAAGAUGUAACGGGGCUAAACCAUGCACCGAAGCUGCGGCAGCGACGCUUAUGCGUUGUUGGGUAGGGGAGCGUUCUGUAAGCCUGCGAAGGUGUGCUGUGAGGCAUGCUGGAGGUAUCAGAAGUGCGAAUGCUGACAUAAGUAACGAUAAAGCGGGUGAAAAGCCCGCUCGCCGGAAGACCAAGGGUUCCUGUCCAACGUUAAUCGGGGCAGGGUGAGUCGACCCCUAAGGCGAGGCCGAAAGGCGUAGUCGAUGGGAAACAGGUUAAUAUUCCUGUACUUGGUGUUACUGCGAAGGGGGGACGGAGAAGGCUAUGUUGGCCGGGCGACGGUUGUCCCGGUUUAAGCGUGUAGGCUGGUUUUCCAGGCAAAUCCGGAAAAUCAAGGCUGAGGCGUGAUGACGAGGCACUACGGUGCUGAAGCAACAAAUGCCCUGCUUCCAGGAAAAGCCUCUAAGCAUCAGGUAACAUCAAAUCGUACCCCAAACCGACACAGGUGGUCAGGUAGAGAAUACCAAGGCGCUUGAGAGAACUCGGGUGAAGGAACUAGGCAAAAUGGUGCCGUAACUUCGGGAGAAGGCACGCUGAUAUGUAGGUGAAGUCCCUCGCGGAUGGAGCUGAAAUCAGUCGAAGAUACCAGCUGGCUGCAACUGUUUAUUAAAAACACAGCACUGUGCAAACACGAAAGUGGACGUAUACGGUGUGACGCCUGCCCGGUGCCGGAAGGUUAAUUGAUGGGGUUAGCCGCAAGGCGAAGCUCUUGAUCGAAGCCCCGGUAAACGGCGGCCGUAACUAUAACGGUCCUAAGGUAGCGAAAUUCCUUGUCGGGUAAGUUCCGACCUGCACGAAUGGCGUAAUGAUGGCCAGGCUGUCUCCACCCGAGACUCAGUGAAAUUGAACUCGCUGUGAAGAUGCAGUGUACCCGCGGCAAGACGGAAAGACCCCGUGAACCUUUACUAUAGCUUGACACUGAACAUUGAGCCUUGAUGUGUAGGAUAGGUGGGAGGCUUAGAAGUGUGGACGCCAGUCUGCAUGGAGCCGACCUUGAAAUACCACCCUUUAAUGUUUGAUGUUCUAACGUUGACCCGUAAUCCGGGUUGCGGACAGUGUCUGGUGGGUAGUUUGACUGGGGCGGUCUCCUCCUAAAGAGUAACGGAGGAGCACGAAGGUUGGCUAAUCCUGGUCGGACAUCAGGAGGUUAGUGCAAUGGCAUAAGCCAGCUUGACUGCGAGCGUGACGGCGCGAGCAGGUGCGAAAGCAGGUCAUAGUGAUCCGGUGGUUCUGAAUGGAAGGGCCAUCGCUCAACGGAUAAAAGGUACUCCGGGGAUAACAGGCUGAUACCGCCCAAGAGUUCAUAUCGACGGCGGUGUUUGGCACCUCGAUGUCGGCUCAUCACAUCCUGGGGCUGAAGUAGGUCCCAAGGGUAUGGCUGUUCGCCAUUUAAAGUGGUACGCGAGCUGGGUUUAGAACGUCGUGAGACAGUUCGGUCCCUAUCUGCCGUGGGCGCUGGAGAACUGAGGGGGGCUGCUCCUAGUACGAGAGGACCGGAGUGGACGCAUCACUGGUGUUCGGGUUGUCAUGCCAAUGGCACUGCCCGGUAGCUAAAUGCGGAAGAGAUAAGUGCUGAAAGCAUCUAAGCACGAAACUUGCCCCGAGAUGAGUUCU